GCUGUCGGCAGAGACGCAAAACAUUUCAGAUUAAGACUCCGACCAUAUGGAACAUAUUUCUUUAGUCCUGUUCGUAUCACAUAUAUGCAUUUUGCCUGCUGUUCGACAAUGGUUACUUCCACCAAGGAGGUUUUGUUUUUUGCAACUGGUCGGGAUUAUAAUAAAUAAUAAAAUAACACAGAACAGAUUUCCGAGAAACUUGGUGGAUGGGCCAAGAAAGAAUCCGAGACUUAAAUCCGGAAAAUGUGAUGGAUCCAGGAAUUUUUUAUGUCUUUCUUUAAUAUGACUUCACGUGAGAUGGUUUUCCAGAGCAUAAUUCAUGGAUCUUCAUGAAAAAACAAAGUUUUCAACUAUGACAUUGGGUGUGUGUGUGCUUAUGUAAAAAUAAAACAUAACCACCUGUCCUUUGUCCCCGUGGCCGCCAACGCGUCCCUGGAAGAUGAGAAGGGGGAGAAGAAAACUUACUGGUGAUGAUGUAAUCGCAGUAAGGAGCCAGAGUGUUCGAUACCUUGACACCAAAUUCUCCAGGCUCUCCCAUCAGCCCCGGGACUCCUAUGGGACCCUGAGAAGACAACCAUCGGUAUAUGUUAAAAAAUAUGUUAAAUAAUAUUCAGACGACUGGACAGCUUGUGGAGAUUCAUAAUAAUCUACUCACAUCUUCUCCGGGGUCACCGUCACUGCCUGGCAGGCCGCCGUGACCUUCGCUGCCCUGAGGAGAGAAAACAAAAAUGGGACGUGAGCAGAGAAGAAAGGUUGGACAAAAAAAGAGGACCAAAAACUUCUGAAUUCAUUAUAAAAAAUGUAAAAAAAUCUAAAAUGAGCACUUGAAGCUGUUUAUUUUCUGCCUAUUUGACAAAAGUUGAAUUACUUUAUUGAUUCUUGCACUGCUACAUGAAUGUAAUGUAUUUCUGUCCAGAUCACUCAGUCCACUGUGUGUGGACCAGUCAAUACAGUACAGGUUGUGCAAGAACAACAGGCUCUGCAGCUUUUCCUUUUUUUAUUUUUUUUGGCUUUAUUCAUCUGUGGCCAAACAGCCGCAGCUUUGUUGUAGUUGUUGUUUUCAAUGGAUAUACCAAAUGAGAAAAACUGUACCUGAAUUACACAUUUAGGAUAAAGACAUAAAA